UACGUAGGGUGCAAGCAUUAAUCGGAAUUAUUGGGCGUAAAGAGUUUGUAGGUGGUUUAGAAAGUCAAAUGUUAAAGAAUAGAGCUCAACUCUGUUAAGGCAUUUGAUACUUCUUCACUAGAGUUAUAUCGAGGGUUAAAGAAUUCUUAGUGUAGCGCUGAUAUGCUUAGAUAUUAAGAGGAAAACCGAAUGCGAAGGCAUUAACCUAGGUAAUAACUGACACUGAGAAACGAAAGCGUGGGGAGCGAAAAGG
rnacentral:rRNA from 1 species